GUCUCAACUCUUAGAAAAAACAUACCCUUCAUUCUAACUUGUCUCUCUGCUUCCGCUUCUCGCUUUCCACCGGUUCUUUCUCUGCUUCAUGGAAGUUAGUUCUCCAUGGUUGCUCACCAGUUACUAGUCAGCUUAUCGCAGGUUGUCAUCUAAGUUAAGACUGAACCUUGCUCGUGGCAUAUGGGGAAGAGCAACGUGUUGGUUGAAAGGUCAAUGGCAAAAAUCAAUUGAAGACUCCAACCAAGCUUUACCUAUCCAACUAAAUUAUACAAAACUCUACCUCAAAGGCUACAUCAAACAACAAGGCAACUAGUAAAGUUGGAAGAAGCACUUAUAAAAAUUCCGUGCACUAUCUCGUGGUUGCUAAUAGAGCCAAAUGCAAAGUAAAAAGAAUGUUCAUGUUUGAUAGAGUUGAGCUCGAAGCUGUAAGUUUGAGAUUAUUUUAUUUUACUUUGGACUU